rnacentral:rRNA from 1 species
AGCAGCCGCGGUAAUUCCAGCUCCAAUAGCGUAUAUUAAAGUUGUUGCAGUUAAAAAGCUCGUAGUUGAAUUUCGGGAUCAAUUUAUUGGUCGUGCAAUAGUACGUACUGGUAUUAUUGGUUCCUACCUUCUGAUGAACCAUGAUGUCAUUAAUUUGGUGUUAUGGGGAAUCAGGACUGUUACUUUGAAAAAAUUAGAGUGUUUAAAGCAGGCUCACGCUUGAAUACAUUAGCAUGGAAUAAUGAAAUAGGACGUUUGAUUCUAUUUUGUUGGUUUCUAGGAUCGACGUAAUGAUUAAUAGGGAUAGUUGGGGGCAUUAGUAUUCAAUUGUCAGAGGUGAAAUUCUUGGAUUUAUUGAAGACUAACUACUGCGAAAGCAUUUGCCAAGGAUGUUUUCAUUAAUCAAGAACGAAAGUUAGGGGAUCGAAGACGAUCAGAUACCGUCGUAGUCUUAGCCAUAAACUAUGCCGACUAGGGAUCGGAUGAUGUUAAUUUUUAAUGUACUCGUUCGUCG